AGCGAACGCUGGCGGCAGGCUUAACACAUGCAAGUCGAACGGGCGUAGCAAUACGUCAGUGGCAGACGGGUGAAUAACGCGUGGGAACGUACCUUUUGGUUCGGAACAACUGAGGGAAACUUCAGCUAAUACCGGAUAAGCCCUUACGGGGAAAGAUUUAUCGCCGAAAGAUCGGCCCGCGUCUGAUUAGCUAGUUGGUGAGGUAACGGCUCACCAAGGCGACGAUCAGUAGCUGGUCUGAGAGGAUGAUCAGCCACAUUGGGACUGAGACACGGCCCAAACUCCUACGGGAGGCAGCAGUGGGGAAUAUUGGACAAUGGGCGAAAGCCUGAUCCAGCCAUGCCGCGUGAGUGAUGAAGGCCCUAGGGUUGUAAAGCUCUUUUGUGCGGGAAGAUAAUGACGGUACCGCAAGAAUAAGCCCCGGCUAACUUCGUGCCAGCAGCCGCGGUAA
rnacentral:rRNA from 1 species